rnacentral:rRNA from 1 species
GNAUUUAUUUGGCGUAAAGGGAGCGCAGGCGGUCAGGAAAGUCUGGAGUAAAAGGCUAUGGCUCAACCAUAGUGUGCUCUGGAAACUGUCUGACUNGAGUGCAGAAGGGGAGAGUGGAAUUCCAUGUGUAGCGGUGAAAUGCGUAGAUAUAUGGAGGAACACCAGUGGCGAAAGCGGCUCUCUGGUCUGUCACUGACGCUGAGGCUCGAAAGCGUGGGUAGCGAACAGGAUUAGAUACCCUGGUAGUCCACGCCGUAAACGAUGAGUGCUAGGUGUUAGGCCCNUUCCGGGGCUUAGUGCCGGAGCUAACGCAAUAAGCACUCCGCCUGGGGAGUACGACCGCAAGGUUGAAACUCAAAGGAAUUGACGGGGGCCCGCACAAGCGGUGGAGCAUGUGGUUUAAUUCGAAGCAACGCGAAGAACCUUACCAGGUCUUGACAUCCCGAUGCUAUUCUUAGAGAUAGGAAGUUACUUCGGUACAUCGGAGACAGGUGGUGCAUGGUUGUCGUCAGCUCGUGUCGUGAGAUGUUGGGUUAAGUCCCGCAACGAGCGCAACCCUUAUUGUUAGUUGCCAUCAUUAAGUUGGGCACUCUAGCGAGACUGCCGGUAAUAAACCGGAGGAAGGUGGGGAUGACGUCAAAUCAUCAUGCCCCUUAUGACCUGGGCUACACACGUGCUACAAUGGUCGGUACAACGAGUUGCGAGCCGGUGACGGCAAGCUAAUCUCUGAAAGCCGAUCUCAGUUCGGAUUGGAGGCUGCAACUCGCCUCCAUGAAGUCGGAAUCGCUAGUAAUCGCGGAUCAGCACGCCGCGGUGAAUACGUUCCCGGGCCUUGUACACACC